UUAUUUUGGGAAAAAGGCAAAGUGAAUGGCCCUAAAAAGAUACAGUCUGGAGCUCAUCCUCAUCUCAGUGACAAAUUGUGAAGUCACGAUUUAUAAAUCUUUAAUUCCUCAGUAUCUUAUUCAGUAACUGGAAGACCCAUAUGUUGGCAUACAAGAAUUCUGAUGUCUGUCCUGAGGAUGAACAAUUGAAGGAAAUAUGUUUGCUCUUCCUCAUCCCUUGCCAUUUCCAUGAUGUCAUUGGGCUUGGCCCUAGCAACUGGAAAGUUAGAACAGAGGAAAGGACUACCUGCAGAGCAAAAUGUACACAACAAUGUAUGGUAGCAAUGACGAGCAUCGCUGGCACUAAGAUCUAUCUCAAGGUUUAUGAAGAGAAGAGAAAAUAAGAUGGAAACUAAAGGCAUUUUGAGUUGGCUUAAUCAGUAGGUAAACCAUUUUAACUGUGACUCAUUUACUAAAACACUGCCAUGUCCUGCAGAAAUGAAGAGGUUUGUACUUGUCUAGGAAUUUUGAUUGUGUAGACAUUCUUACUACGUUUUUGGUGGGUUUUUUCCCCUUCAUGUGGAGUAUCUGCUGUUGAAAGCAUGUGCUUGGCUGUCCAUGGGUGCCUGCUAUGGCACCACCUUUAUGUGGUUUUGACCCCUGGGGAACAUAGUUGACCACAUGUACUGAAUAAACUAUUGCUUUCAACAUA